CCUACGGGAGGCAGCAGUGAGGAAUAUUGGUCAAUGGCCGUAAGGCUGAACCAGCCAAGUAGCGUGAGGGAAGACUGCCCUAUGGGUUGUAAACCUCUUUUAUGCGGGGAGAAAGGUGUCCACGUGUGGAUGAUUGCAGGUACCGCAUGAAUAAGGACCGGCUAAUUCCAUGCCAGCAGCCGCGGUAAUACGGAAGGUCCGGGCGUUAUCCUGAUUUAUUGGGUUUAAAGGGAGCGUAGGCCGGUCUUUAAGCGUGCCGUGAAAUUUUGUGGCUCAACCCUGAGAGUGCGGCGCGAACUGGCGCCCUUGAGUGCGCGGCAGGCAGGCGGAUUUCGUGUUGUAGCCG
rnacentral:rRNA from 1 species